UGUCUGUGGUUUUCCUGCAGCAUUGCGGUAGAAUGACAGCUACAAUGUCACGAUCGCAAUCACCUCUGACUGGUUGACGCUCGCUCACUAUUGGAUACAAUGCAUUGUUGCAACAGGAAUAGCAUAAUUUCAGCCAAGCACAACAAU